rnacentral:rRNA from 1 species
GACGAACGCUGGCGGCGUGCCUAAUACAUGCAAGUCGAACGAGAGCAACCGGUGCUUGCACUGGUCAAUCUAGUGGCGAACGGGUGAGUAACACGUGGGUAACCUGCCCAUCAGAGGGGGAUAACAUCCGGAAACGGAUGCUAAAACCGCAUAGGUCUUCGAACCGCAUGGUUUGAAGAGGAAAAGAGGCGCAAGCUUCUGCUGAUGGAUGGACCCGCGGUGCAUUAGCUAGUUGGUGAGGUGACGGCUCACCAAGGCCGUGAUGCAUAGCCGACCUGAGAGGGUGAUCGGCCACAUUGGGACUGAGACACGGCCCAAACUCCUACGGGAGGCAGCAGUAGGGAAUCUUCCGCAAUGGACGCAAGUCUGACGGAGCAACGCCGCGUGAGUGAAGAAGGUUUUCGGAUCGUAAAACUCUGUUGUUAGAGAAGAACAAGUGCUAGAGUAACUGUUAGCGCCUUGACGGUAGCUAACCAGAAAGCCACGGCUAACUACGUG